GACGAACGCUGGCGGCGUGCUUAACACAUGCAAGUCGAACGGAAAGGCCCUGCUUUUGUGGGGUGCUCGAGUGGCGAACGGGUGAGUAACACGUGAGUAACCUGCCCUUGACUUUGGGAUAACUUCAGGAAACUGGGGCUAAUACCGGAUAGGAGCUCCUGCUGCUUGGUGGGGGUUGGAAAGUUUCGGCGGUUGGGGAUGGACUCGCGGCUUAUCAGCUUGUUGGUGGGGUAGUGGCUUACCAAGGCUUUGACGGGUAGCCGGCCUGAGAGGGUGACCGGCCACACUGGGACUGAGAUACGGCCCAGACUCCUACGGGAGGCAGCAGUGGGGAAUAUUGCACAAUGGGCGGAAGCCUGAUGCAGCAACGCCGCGUGCGGGAUGACGGCCUUCGGGUUGUAAACCGCUUUCGCCUGUGACGAAGCGUGAGUGACGGUAAUGGGUAAAGAAGCACCGGCUAACUACGUG
rnacentral:rRNA from 1 species